UGGGUAACCUGCCUCAAAGAGGGGAAUAGCCUCCCGAAAGGGAGAUUAAUACCGCAUAAUAUGUUUAGGUCGCAUGACUUUAACAUCAAAGGAUUUUCUUUUAGAAAUUCCACUUUGAGAUGGACCCGCGGCGCAUUAGCUAGUUGGUGAGGUAACGGCUCACCAAGGCAACGAUGCGUAGCCGACCUGAGAGGGUGAUCGGCCACAUUGGAACUGAGACACGGCCAGACUCCUAGGGAGG
rnacentral:rRNA from 1 species